rnacentral:piRNA from 1 species
UGAUUUGCCUAAACUGCCACAGUUUGUC